UUACGGCCACAUCACGUUGAAACAUUGGUUCCCGUACGAUCACCGAAGUUAAGCAAUGUCCUUCCUGUCAGUAACUAGAUGGAUGGCCGUUUGGGAAUACCAGGUGCUGUAAG